GACGAACGCUGGCGGCGUGCUUAACACAUGCAAGUCGAACGGAAAGGCCCUGCUUUUGUGGGGUGCUCGAGUGGCGAACGGGUGAGUAACACGUGAGUAACCUGCCCUUGACUUUGGGAUAACUUCAGGAAACUGGGGCUAAUACAGGAUAGGAGCUCCUGCUGCAUGGUGGGGGUUGGAAAGUUUCGGCGGUUGGGGAUGGACUCGCGGCUUAUCAGCUUGUUGGUGGGGUAGUGGCUUACCAAGGCUUUGACGGGUAGCCGGCCUGAGAGGGUGACCGGCCACAUUGGGACUGAGAUACGGCCCAGACUCCUACGGGAGGCAGCAGUGGGGAAUAUUGCACAAUGGGCGGAAGCCUGAUGCAGCAACGCCGCGUGCGGGAUGACGGCCUUCGGGUUGUAAACCGCUUUCGCCUGUGACGAAGCGUGAGUGACGGUAAUGGGUAAAGAAGCACCGGCUAACUACGUGCCAGCAGCCGCGGUAA
rnacentral:rRNA from 1 species